GGUGCAUGGUUGUCGUCAGCUCGUGUCGUGAGAUGUGGGUUAAGUCCCGCAACGAGCGCAACCCCUAUUGUUAGUUGCCAUCAUUCAGUCGGGCACUCGUAGCGAGACUGCCGGUAAUAAACCGGAGGAAGGUGGGGAUGACGUCAAAUCAUCAUGCCCCUUAUGACCUGGGCUACACACGUGCUACAAUGGUUGGUACAACGAGUUGCGAGUUGGUGACGGCGAGCUAAUCUCUUAAAGCCAAUCUCAGUUCGGAUUGUAGGCUGCAACUCGCCUACAUGAAGUCGGAAUCGCUAGUAAUCGCGGAUCAGCACGCCGCGGUGAAUACGUUCCCGGGCCUU
rnacentral:rRNA from 1 species